rnacentral:rRNA from 1 species
AACGAACGCUGGCGGCAGGCUUAACACAUGCAAGUCGAGCGCCCCGCAAGGGGAGCGGCAGACGGGUGAGUAACGCGUGGGAACGUACCCUUUGCUACGGAAUAGCUCCGGGAAACUGGAAUUAAUACCGUAUGUGCCCUACGGGGGAAAGAUUUAUCGGCAAAGGAUCGGCCCGCGUUGGAUUAGCCAGUUGGUGGGGUAAUGGCCUACCAAGGCGACGAUCCAUAGCUGGUCUGAGAGGAUGAUCAGCCACAUUGGGACUGAGACACGGCCCAAACUCCUACGGGAGGCAGCAGUGGGGAAUAUUGGACAAUGGGCGCAAGCCUGAUCCAGCCAUGCCGCGUGAGUGAUGAAGGCCUUAGGGUUGUAAAGCUCUUUCAGUGGGGACGAUAAUGACGGUACCCACAAAAGAAGCCCCGGCUAACUUCGUGCCAGCCGCCGCCGUAACAC